AGGGAAUAUUGGACAAUGGGGGCAACCCUGAUCCAGCCAUGCCGCGUGAGUGAAGAAGGCCCUCGGGUUGUAAAGCUCUUUCGUCCGGAAAGAAAAGCAUUCGGUGAAUACCCGGAUGUUCUGACGGUACCGGAAGAAUAAGCACCGGCUAACUUCGUGCCAGCAGCCGCGGUAAUACGAAGGGUGCAAGCGUUACUCGGAAUUACUGGGCGUAAAGCGUGCGUAGGUGGUUGUUUAAGUCUGAUGUGAAAGCCCUGGGCUCAACCUGGGAAUGGCAUUGGAACCUGGGCAGCUAGAGUGCGGUAGAGGGUAGUGGAAUUCCCGGUGUAGCAGUGAAAUGCGUAGAGAUCGGGAGGAACAUCUGUGGCGAAGGCGACUGCCUGGACCAGCACUGACACUGAGGCACGAAAGCGUGGGGAGCAAACA
rnacentral:rRNA from 1 species